UACGUAGGGUGCAAGCGUUGUCCGGAAUUAUUGGGCGUAAAGGGCUCGUAGGCGGUCCAUCGCGUCGGGAGUGAAAAGCUGGGGCUUAACCCCAGUCCUGCUUCCGAUACGGGUGGACUAGAGGUAGGUAGGGGAGAACGGAAUUCCUGGUGUAGCGGUGAAAUGCGCAGAUAUCGGGAAGAACACCCGUGGCGAAGGCGGCUCUCUGGGACGGUACUGACGCUGAGACGCGAAAGCGUGGGGAGCGAACAGG
rnacentral:rRNA from 1 species